ACACGACUACAUUAGAUACCCCUGUAGUCCAGGGUGUAAACGCUGCGGGCUUGGUGUUGGGGGUCCUUAGUGGGCGCCCAGUGCCGGAGAGAAGUUGUUAAGCCUGCUGCUUGGGGAGUAUGUCCGCAAGGAUGAAACUUAAAGGAAUUGGCGGGGGAGCACCGCAACGGGAGGAGCGUGCGGUUCAAUUGGAUUCAACGCCGGACAACUCACCAGGAGCGACGGUUACAUGAAGGCCAGGCUGAUGACCUUGCCUGAUUUUCCG
rnacentral:rRNA from 1 species